rnacentral:rRNA from 1 species
UACGGAGGGGGCGAGCGUUAUUCGGAAUUAUUGGGCGUAAAGGGCGCGUAGGCGGCCCGGUAAGUCAAAGGUGAAAUCCCUCGGCUCAACUGAGGAACUGCCUUUGAAACUGUCGGGCUUGAGGCCGGGAGGGGGUAGCGGAAUUCCCAAUGUAGCGGUGAAAUGCGUAGAUAUUGGGAGGAACACCAGUGGCGAAGGCGGCUACCUGGACCGGUUCUGACGCUGAGGCGCGAAAGCGUGGGUAGCAAACAGG